rnacentral:rRNA from 1 species
GGUUAAGUGACUAAGCGUACACGGUGGAUGCCUUGGCAGUCAGAGGCGAUGAAAGACGUAGUAACUUGCGAUAAGCCCAGAUUAGGUAGUAACAACCAUUUGAGUCUGGGAUUUCUGAAUGGGGAAACCCACGUGCAUAAGCACGUAUCCUUACCUGAAUACAUAGGGUAAGGAGGCGAACCGGGGGAACUGAAACAUCUAAGUACCCCGAGGAAAAGAAAUCAACCGAGAUUCCGAAAGUAGCGGCGAGCGAAAUUGGACUAGCCCUUAAGCUUUACACGCGUUAGACGAACGGUCUGGAAAGUCCGACGAUACAGGGUGAUAGUCCCGUAGUUGACGACGUGUGUUCAGUGAAAUCGAGUAGGGCGGGACACGUGAUAUCCUGUCUGAAUAUGGGGGGACCAUCCUCCAAGGCUAAAUACUACUGACUGACCGAUAGUGAACCAGUACCGUGAGGGAAAGGCGAAAAGAACCCCUGUGAGGGGAGUGAAAUAGAACCUGAAACCGUGUACGUACAAGCAGUAGGAGCAGGCUUUGUCCUGUGACUGCGUACCUUUUGUAUAAUGGGUCAGCGACUUAUAUUCAGUGGCAAGGUUAACCAUCUAGGGGAGCCGUAGGGAAACCGAGUCUUAACUGGGCGUUCAGUCUCUGGAUAUAGACCCGAAACCAGGUGAUCUAGCCAUGGGCAGGUUGAAGGUUGAGUAACAUCAACUGGAGGACCGAACCGACUAAUGUUGAAAAAUUAGCGGAUGACUUGUGGCUAGGGGUGAAAGGCCAAUCAAACCUGGAGAUAGCUGGUUCUCCCCGAAAGCUAUUUAGGUAGCGCCUCGGACGAAUACUACUGGGGGUAGAGCACUGUUAAGGCUAGGGGGUCAUCCCGACUUACCAACCCUUUGCAAACUCCGAAUACCAGUAAGUACUAUCCGGGAGACACACGGCGGGUGCUAACGUCCGUCGUGGAGAGGGAAACAACCCAGACCGCCAGCUAAGGUCCCAAAUUACUACUAAGUGGGAAACGAUGUGGGAAGGCUCAGACAGCCAGGAUGUUGGCUUAGAAGCAGCCAUCAUUUAAAGAAAGCGUAAUAGCUCACUGGUCGAGUCGGCCUGCGCGGAAGAUGUAACGGGGCUAAGUAGUAAACCGAAGCUGCGGCAAUAUACUUUUGUAUAUUGGGUAGGGGAGCGUUCUGUAAGCGGUUGAAGGUGUGUGGUAACGCAUGCUGGACGUAUCAGAAGUGCGAAUGCUGACAUGAGUAACGAUAAAGGGGGUGAAAAACCUCCUCGCCGGAAGACCAAGGGUUCCUGUC